rnacentral:rRNA from 1 species
GAGAUAACUCCUACGGGAGGCAGCAGUGGGGAAUUUUGGACAAUGGGGGCAACCCUGAUCCAGCAAUGCCGCGUGAGUGAAGAAGGCCUUCGUGUUGUAAAGCUCUUUUGUCAGGGAAGAAACGGUAGUAGCUAAUAUCUAUUACUAAUGACGGUACCUGAAGAAUAAGCACCGGCUAACUACGUGCCAGCAGCCGCGGUAAUACGUAGGGUGCAAGCGUUAAUCGGAAUUACUGGGCGUAAAGCGUGCGCAGGCGGUUGUGUAAGUCAGAUGUGAAAUCCCCGGGCUCAACCUGGGAAUUGCAUUUGGGGCUGCACGGAUAGAGUGUGUCAGAGGGGGGUAGAAUUCCACGUGUAGCAGUGAAAUGCGUAGAUAUGUGGAGGAAUACCGAUGGCGAAGGCAGCCCCAUGGGAUAACACUGACGCUCAUGCACGAAAGCGUGGGGAGCAAACAGGAUUAGAUACCCGAGUAGUCCUCCACU